GCCUCUAUGGCGCAGUGGUAACGGUAAGUGAAUUCAAGGCAGAUUUUCUGGUAGCUCUAGUCUGACAAUGCUUCAGCGUCGCACUUGUACUGCUGAAAGGAUACUUCCUCUUGUGGCGAUCAAUGCGAAGAUCACAAGUUCAAUUCUUGUUGGAGGCA